rnacentral:rRNA from 1 species
AACGAACGCUGGCGGCAGGCCUAAAACAUGCUAGUCGAACGAUGCCUUCGGGCUUAGUGGCGCACGGGUGAGUAACGCGUGGGCACGUGCCAUUUGGUGCGGAACAACCGCUGGAAACGGCUGCUAAUACCGCAUAAUAACUUCGGUUCAAAGAUUUAUCGCCAAAGGAUCGGCCCGCGUUCGAUUAGAUAGUUGGUGGGGUAAUGGCCUACCAAGUUGACGACCUAUUGCUGUUUUGUGAGGAUGAUCAGCCACACUGCGAAUGAGGCACGGCCCUGGCUCCUACUGGCGGCAGCAGUUAGAAAUAUUGGACCACGGGCCCACGCCUUGUCCAGCCAUGCCGCGUGAGUGAAGACGGCCUUAGGGUUGUAUAGCUCUUUCAGGUACGAGGAUAAUUACCGUAGUACCAAAAGAAGCCCCUGCUAAAUUCGUGCCAGCCGCCGCCGUAA